UACGGGGGGGGCAAGCGUUGUUCGGAAUUACUGGGCAUAAAGCGCACGCAGGCGGCUUGCUAAGUCGGGUGUGAAAUCCCUUGGCUCAACCGAGGAACUGCAUUCGAUACUGGUAGGCUCGAGGACGGGAGGGGUAAGCGGAACUCCAGGUGGAACGGUGAAAUGUGUAGAUAUCUGGAGGAACACCGGUGGCGAAAGCGGCUUACUGGCCCGUAUCUGACGCUCAUGUGCGAAAGCUAGGGGAGCAAACGGG
rnacentral:rRNA from 1 species